rnacentral:rRNA from 1 species
AACGAACGCUGGCGGCGUGUUUAAGACAUGCAAGUCGCACGGGAUAAGACAUGUAGUAAUACUUGUUUUAUUUAGUGGCGCACGGGUGAGUAACACGUGAAUUACAUGCCCUAUAGUGGGGAAUAGCCCAGGGAGACUUGGAUUAAUACCCCAUGGUAUCGAAAGAUUAAAGGUGGCCGCAAGGCUGUCGCUAUAGGAUUGGUUCGCGCCCUAUCAGCUUGUUGGUGAGGUAACGGCUCACCAAGGCGAUGACGGGUACCUGGUCUGAGAGGACGAUCAGGCACACUGGAACUGAGACACGGUCCAGACACCUACGGGUGGCAGCAGUCGAGAAUAAUUCACAAUGGGGGUAACCCUGAUGGUGCAACGCCGCGUGGAGGAUGACGGUCUUCGGAUUGUAAACUCCUGUCAUCUGGGAGAAAGACCUGACGGUAAAUAGCCGGCAGGGUUGAUAGUACCAGAAGAGGAAGGGACGGCUAACUUCGUGCCAGCCGCCGCCGUAA